CCUACGGGGGGCUGCAGUGGGGAAUCUUAGACAAUGGGGGAAACCCUGAUCUAGCCAUGCCGCGUGAUCGAUGAAGGCCUUAGGGUUGUAAAGAUCUUUCAGAUGGGAAGAUAAUGACGGUACCAUCAGAAGAAGCCCCGGCUAACUCCGUGCCAGCAGCCGCGGUAAUACGGAGGGGGCUAGCGUUAUUCGGAAUUACUGGGCGUAAAGCGCACGUAGGCGGAUUGGAAAGUUGGAGGUGAAAUCCCAGGGCUCAACCUUGGAACUGCCUUCAAAACUCCCAGUCUUGAGUUCGAGAGAGGUGAGUGGAAUUCCGAGUGUAGAGGUGAAAUUCGUAGAUAUUCGGAGGAACACCAGUGGCGAAGGCGGCUCACUGGCUCGAUACUGACGCUGAGGUGCGAAAGCGUGGGGAGCAAACAGGAUUAGAUACCCGAGUAGUC
rnacentral:rRNA from 1 species